GCUCUUGAGAGGCAGCUCUGCCAGCACUGAAGCUCAUGUGUCAGUGGAGGAACACUGUUAUCUUCUUAUCAGGAGAUGACAACCACAAAUACCUCGGCCUGAAAGACUGCUCUGCUAUCACCAGGGGCACAACUUCCACAGGGACUUUUCAGUGUCAACAGACUUUGGACUGUGAUGUCUUUGAGAGAGAGAAUUGUCUUUUUGCUGUGUUUGUGUAUCUCCAGGCAUUCCCCAUUUUGGUCUCUCUGGUGAUUUUUAGCAAACAGCUGCAGCAUGAGCCUGGUGAAACCAUCCCAGGGAAGGUAGAACAGGCUGCAGAGCAUCCAGAUCAGAUAUAUGUGCAGCUGGAUCUGCCUCGUAG